AACCGCCCGAGUCUAACGAGAGCCCCUCCGAGGGAAACCUAACAAUGGCGAGCCCUGCCACCACCACCACCGACGCCACCACCACCACCACGAGCACCACCACCACCGCUGUCCAGGACAAGGACCAACCGCCCGAGUCUAAGGAGAGCCCCUCCGAGGGAAACCCAACAAUGGCGAGCCCUGCCACCACCACCACCGACGCCACCACCACCACCACGAGCACCACCACCACCGCUGUCC